UAUUCAGUAUGUUGCUGGGAGCUAUUGUUUUUCAAUAUCAUUGUUAAAGUCCAUAUUGGGCGCCAAAUAUUGGCGAUGCGAGGCCAGUGGCCAGUGUCGGGUGAGUUCGCGAUGACCAGGCGGGAGCGGCAGCGAUCGCGCGCGCACAUGGUUGGGCUGCGACAUCGCUCCCCCCGCAGUAGCGGAACAAGCACCGCCCACCGUGGACGGCACAGACAACGUCGCUGCAGAUGGAAGCCCUUCAGAGUUGCCAGGUCCUCUGGCCAAUGCUUUGCUGGUGGAGAAUUCUGUGCUGGAGUGGACGCGUCUCCCAAAGAUCUAGACGAGCAAAAAGUGAGGAACAGAGGCAAGGUUAGAGUGAGGAACUUACCCGUGCUGCUAAAGAUAUCGUGGAGGUGUAAACUGUUCUGCAGAGAAAUGCAUGUCAAUAAAUGACCUGGAC